GAAACAAUCCAUAGUUUCACAGAACAAUGAGAUAUGGAAAUGGACCACUAAUGGCAACAGGAAGUCAGAUGCAUUGAAAGCAUAUCACUGGUGCAUGACACGUGUGCACUCACACAAUACAGUAAAAAAUAUAAGUGAAAGAAGAAAGUCCAUGAUCUUGUGUUCUGAUUUUAGAUUGUGUUGGUAAUCAUUUUGAACAUUUGGC
rnacentral:misc_RNA from 1 species